GAGCUUCUGAGCAGCCAAAGCAAUGUUGGUCCAGCUCCACGGAUUCAUGUCUGCCCUUAAUUCUAUAGAAAACCUCCUCUUGUCCUGAGGGGGAGUCUACAGAGGAAUACUGCUACCCACAACAUACAAACUGGAGGUUGUCAGGGCAUGAGGAGCUGUCAAUUACUGUUGUCUGGUUAGACUGGAAUCAGAAGACUGGAGAAUAACGUGGAAAGAGGAAAUAAAGGACAGCUGAGGUCUGAGAAGCUUUCAUUAAUGAGGCGAAGCUGGAGCUGCAUGGUAAACAGGAUGAGUUCACCAGCUGACAUGAGGGAAAGAACAUUUCAACAAGUAGGCCCUGAGGACUCUGCCAGUGACUCUCCAGGGAGUUUCCAUGUCUUCCAUCCUGUGCUCAGGCUACAUGAUUGAUCCUUCUUGUUCUAAGGCUCCAGCUUCUUGAACUGAGCAGCUAUUGGAUUCUCCAGUUCUUCAAGCUGUAGAUGGUCAUUGUGAGACUAUCCAGCUUCUGGUUGUAUAAGAUGAUCUAAUAAAUCCCUUUUUUAUAAUCAUAUAUAUAUAUAUAUAUGCAUAAUCACAUAUCAUACAUAU